rnacentral:rRNA from 1 species
CCUACGGGCGGCAGCAGUGGGGAAUAUUGCACAAUGGGCGCAAGCCUGAUGCAGCCAUGCCGCGUGUGUGAGGAAGGCCUUCGGGUUGUAAAGCACUUUCAGCGGGGAGGAAGGCGGUGAGGUUAAUAACCUCAUCGAUUGACGUUACCCGCAGAAGAAGCACCGGCUAACUCCGUGCCAGCAGCCGCGGUAAUACGGAGGGUGCAAGCGUUAAUCGGAAUUACUGGGCGUAACGCGCACGCAGGCGGUCUGUCAAGUCGGAUGUGAAAUCCCCGGGCUCAACCUGGGAACUGCAUUCGAAACUGGCAGGCUAGAGUCUUGUAGAGGGGGGUAGAAUUCCAGGUGUAGCGGUGGAAUGCGUAGAGAUCUGGAGGAAUACCGGUGGCGAAGGCGGCCCCCUGGACAAAGACUGACGCUCAGGUGCGAAAGCGUGGGGAGCAAACAGGAUUAGAUACCCGGGUAGUC